UACAGAGGUCUCAAGCGUUGUUCGGAUUCAUUGGGCGUAAAGGGUGCGUAGGCGGCGCGGUAAGUCGGGUGUGAAAUCUCGGAGCUUAACUCCGAAACUGCAUUCGAUACUGCCGUGCUUGAGGACUGGAGAGGAGACUGGAAUUCCUGGUGUAGCGGUGAAAUGCGCAGAUAUCAGGAGGAACACCGGUGGCGAAGGCGGGUCUCUGGGCCGAUACUGACGCUGAGACGCGAAAGCGUGGGGAGCGAACAGG
rnacentral:rRNA from 1 species